UGACAAAGGCUAAAUAAAUGCAUGGUGAGGAGAACCUGUCCCAACAAAGAAAACUUUGUUUUCCAUGUCCUUGCCAGGUGUCACCAACACAUAAUCAUCCGGUGGGCACAGGAGAGCAGAGACAGCACACUCACACGGUCUUGUCCUCGCCACCCAGAGGGACGGUCAGCCUGAGGAAGCCCCGGGGAGAGGGCAAGAAGUGCCGCAAGGUGUAUGGCAUGGAGAACCGGGACCUGUGGUGCACGGCGUGCCGCUGGAAGAAGGCAUGCCAGAGGUUCACUGACUGACCCCUGGGGCCCCCGAGCCCCGCUGCCCUCGCCUUCCACUGCAGGCUCUGGAAAAGCGCUUUUUCUUCCGAACAAAAACACACUUGAAGCCCAGGAAAAGCACUUCCAGGAAACUUGGUGGAAUGACAGCAAAAAAAAUAAAUAAAUAGAUAAGGUCACCACCCUCACUGCUCUUGCUGAGAACCCAGCGUCGGGCAGCUGUAUUUUUUUUUUUCCUUGAAAAGAAAAGUCAGCCUUUUUUUUUUUUUUUCUGUAUGUCUAGGUCUGAAAACUGUGGACUUCCGUAGCAACUGAACCAACAAAGCCCGUUUUACCUAGAGAGGAGGCAUAUUUUGAUAAGCUUUCCAAAUAAUGCCAUUUCUGAGAUUUUUUUGACAUAUUAAAAAAAAAAGCUACACGUUAUUCAGUAGCGUUUGUACAGAGGACAAUACCUGCUUUCAUUGUGAAUAGUAUUUUUCCUGUUUUCCAUUUGACUUCUUGGAGCAGUGCACAUCAUGACGUGUUGCUAGAAAGCGCAGCACUCUGGGGAUCUCUUCUCUGUCUCGUUUGUCGGUUUCUCGCGUUUUGAAGAAUGGCCCCGCACGGAACCGCCACAGAGCUGUUGGCCUGAAGGGCCCCAGGGGGCGUCCACUCACAAAGAGAUCACCAGCAGACUUCAGCCCCCAGCUGAGUCCAGGACAUCCGGGAACACCUAGGAGUCUUCGCUUUCUAAGAAGCCCUUGCCCGGGAGGCGUGGCGGCUCAUUCUCUACCAGCCGCGGCUCCAUCAAAGACUGGCAUGGGUGGCCAUCUGGGUAAGCCUCGAUGCUUCUUUCAGGGACGCAGGGCAGACAGCGGCCCGGGUCUGUUGGUCACUGCUUGUCUGACAGUGUCCUUGCCAGGUUAGCGGGUCAUCGGGCCUUCCCUCAAAACUCCACCCCGGACCAGUUUCAGAAAAGGUAGAGAACUCGAACUAUCCCCACAGGACAGCAGAGCACAACCUCCACGUCCCCAUCUGUUCAGAGGGACAUGUGAGGUCAACAAACCAACAUCUAUUCUGAGUGCACUUUCAUAGGUUGUAUGCUUUAGCAUGUCCGGGAGAGGGGUUCGUGAAAUAUAGAAACAUGAUAUGGGUACAUGGGAGGUCCCAAACUUUAUUUUUCUUAUAAAAAUAUUGGAACUGUUCAUUAAGAAUUUGCUCAGAGGGGAACAUAUAGAACACCAAAAGGAAAAUGCAUGUUGGUAUAGGAAUCUCUCAAUUUAGUAGGACCAGGGCUCCCACUGCAUUGCUCUUGGCAGGCUUUCUAGCCUGGUAUGUAUGUUUGUUUGGUUGGUUGGUUGUUUUGUUAGUAGUGUAAAGGGGGAGGGGAGUAGUCGUCAUGCUCUCUAUAUAAGCUCAUCGUCUAUCUAUCCUACUCUGGAUUGCCCUGCUAAUGAGUUAUUUUUCCUAUACCUAUGCAAAGAAGUAAGAGCACCUUUCAGGAUGCACUGUGUCAGGACUGGGAGCCUACGAUCAGCCAUAGGAAUGUUCAAUGAAAUUGCACAGAGCAAAGUUUAAUAUAUGUUUAGAGAUUGUACAUACACUUGUUUUAAAGAGUUGAAAGAAGUCAUCUAGUAAUAACAAAUAUCCUUUUCCUUUUAUAAUCGAGGGAAGUAGAAGGAGGUUCCACGGUGUAAUAUCCACAACCUAUGCGUUCACAUAUUUUUGGCAAUUUUAUUUUUUAAGCUUUCAUAUGACUUUUUAAACAUUGUUCCUUGGAAAAAAUCCUGUUUUCCUCCAUUUAUUUUUAUCUCAACAGCACUUAUUUCAAGAGGGAAGGAAAAGAGCUUCAUUUAAUUUCAUGCCAUGAUUACCAAUCACUAGUAGCUAUGGCACCAGCUAUAAUGUGUUUUAAUAUUUACAAGGUCAGCCAGGAAAGGGCAUUUUUCUAAGGAUAGAAAUGUAUUUGCAUCCUCAAUCCCAGCAUGUCUUUUCUCCUUCCUGGAGUCCUGAUGCUCUACCUAUAGGCACCCUCGACUGUGACAUGAUGCUCUGGCCUGGCCCAGGAGGCCUGAGCUGAGGGUGGACUGCCCAGCAGCCACAGUGAGUCCAGAGCUGAUGAACCCUUUGAGCAGGUUCCCUGUGGACAGAAGUGAUGGUUGGUUGGGAUGCACUCCCAGAGCAGAGGUUUUUCUCUUCGGUGAGGCUCCCUGGCCUGUGAUCCUGGGAUUAAGUCCCUCAUCAAAAACAAAAUGAGGAGGGGCUAAAUCCAUCCUCCCCACCCCCUAGAACUCUGGAACACAAGGAGCGAGAGGUCUCUGCUGUGGAGCAGUCCUGGACUGAGGUUUUGUGGCUGUCCUCCAGAGAUGCAGCCCAUGAUUAGUUCCGAGCUCUGGCCUGGAGGGGUCAAGCUCAGUCCUUACCUGGUUUUUAGCUAAUGAACAGGUAUAAGCAGAAGUGUAGAGCUGAAGGCAACUUCCCUGGGAUUUCUUCUCCUUUCUAAAGCCUUCUCUACACAUACUCUUCUGCGUCUCCUACCCACAUGGGGACUCCUUUCUGCCAACCGGCCCAAUCUCUGUGUACCUUCUUGGCUUCCAGGUGUGCACAGACCCUCAGUAGCUUCCUGCACACACAGACAUCCAUUCUUUGUAUCAAGGCAUGUCAUAACUAGAGACCCACCAAAAUUCACCUGGCUGGCCUUGGGAGGGAAAAAAAAGGGGGGGGAUUAACUUCUUGCAAGCCACCCAGAAAGUGAUGAAUUGCAAUAUACAGCACUGAUUGUAAAAGCUAAAAUUUAAAAAAAAAAAAGACAUAGAGCUAUUUUGUUAUAUUUUGGAAUUAAAUGAAGUGCCAAAUUAAGCCCAACAUUCGUUUUCUGCCAUCUCUGUGGUCCCACAUGCUUUUAUGUCUUCAUUUGGCGAGCGGAGACAGGGGAUGGGUGGAGAGGGCGGUCCCACAGCAUGCUGGCUGGUUAACGGGAGCUCCGUCCAUCCCAGGGACCUCAGACACCUGUCUGUGCAAAAGCAAUGGCAAUACAAUGGAUUCUGGACCCAGAGUAUUUCUAAAGAAGGCAUGCUAUAGUCUUUUGACCUUUCUCUCCCUUGAUCCCCCCUUCCUUCACAAAAUAGUUCUCAUCUCUGUCUAAAAAAGGCAUCUCAUAGUAAUGGACAGGCAUUCUUCAGGUAGCUACAAAGCAAAGAGAGUUCAUCAGGCUGUAGUAUUAAGCCUUAGUCCUUCCCAGAGGAUGUGCACCCAAUUUAUGGGAAGCAGUAUGACAAGCUGGAGAAAACACCGGGUAGCAAGUGGGUGGGUUGGGGACCAGAGAGGAGAUAUGAGAGGUCUAUGGACAUCUGGCUCCUGCUCAUCUCCUUAAUGCUGGUCAGCCAAUGGGGAUUGUCCCUGGGCACCUCCAAGGGAGCUGUCAUGUUGUCCCCCAGGAAUGACUGCCCGAAGCAAGAAGAGGCUCCCUUAGGGGAAGCAGCUCUGCCCAGGGAUACAGGACCGCCAAGCACAUCUCAAGGGGGCACGGACUUCCCACCCCCUCGCUUGCUGGCAGGUUUCCUCAUUGGUUGGGAAAAGCCAGUGUCAGGAAGAAGGCAGUGGGUUUCCACCCAAUGCAUGCUCAGCGGCGGAGUGCCUGCAAGCAGAUCCAAGCAUCAGGGUGCCCUUCACUAGACAUUCCUUGUCCAGUCGUAACUGUGUUGCCGAUGAAAACUUGCAAUAGACAAGGAUGGGGGUUACAGUUCUCUGGCUUUCCAAAAUCGAUACAUGAGACAGUUACAUGAAUGUUGCAAGAGAUUUCUGAAACUAAAAUGCCCUCUAUCAGAUUUCAAGAUCAUUUUGAGUUUCAGUUGGCUUGACUCCAGUGUCCCACGAAGCCACACUUUUGAAAGCCGCCCUGGGUUCUAAAGUCGCCGACGGUUGAACCCAUUUCCUCCUUCUUCAGACUUCAUUGGAAAACGAAAGAACAGCAUUCACUUGAGAAUGUUGAGAGAGAAGUGGCAAGGAUUGUACCUACAGGAGAGAAUACCUUGAGAAUAGUAGCAAAACACUGUAAAUAAUAUUCAUUUCCUCAGGGAAAAUUAAAGGGUAUGUGAAAGAUAGAUCUGGAAGAUCCUUAGAAAGACUUUUAUUAUCUCUAGAGUCUUUUCGAGUCAGAACAGUUUAGUGUUUUGGGGUUUUUGUUUUUGUUUUUGUUUUUAACGAACAGGAUGAUUAUUUCAAGACAAUUUUACAUGAACUGCACAAUACCAACUUUUUGAGGUGUGGAGGAAAGCUCUAUGAGAAAGAGCUGUUUCUUUGUAGCUGACGGGCAGUCUGAGGCUGACCUUUGAACCACAGGCACGCUCCCUGGCGGGUGUUCACAGACUCAUGUAAGGCUUUUCCUGAAUGUAAUUGUGAAUACGAAGCCUUGGUGUUCCUCUUUCUAAUCACCCAGUUGGAUGACUGCACGCAGAACCCCGUAGGUGAGAGCUGUUAAAGACGCACGUUUUGCUUUAGUAGCAUGUUAAGGAGCAAACUUCCAUGGACUUGUGCGGACAAGGUGCUGCUUUUUCUCAUGACCCUGUAGACUUUCUAUCGACCACAUCAACUGUAGCAUUGCCCUGUAUGAACACAGGGAAGGAUCUGUGCAUACAAAUGAGUGGAAACAGAGCAGAGUUCAUGAAUAUGGAUGAGGAUGUGACUCCUUUUGGAGAAGGCGCUGGGUACACAGGUCAACUGGAAAUUUCAUUUCUCUCAGAAAAUACCCCUACCAGCGGCGCACACACUCUCCCUGUUCCUCAUACCUGUGGGGAUUCCUCCAUACUGGAACUGUUUCGUUGUGUCUUUUUGCAUUGUAACUCGUCAAACCAGAAGUCAGUAAAUAAAAUGAGAUUAGCACUUUUAGGUACCAAGUGUAUGACUAAGUAAUGCACACCAACAGAACAAGAAAGUAUAAAAUGUACUUAAGACCGACCGGUUUGCUUAUUGUGACUGACUUUGAAAAAGCCCGUAUCCAAUGAUAUCCAUGCUUUAAAAGGUGUACCUAUCCUGGGACCGGAAAUCAAAAUGGGCAUUUUACUUCUGGUCCUGUUUUGUAAAUAGUUGCUUUUUUUUGAAGACAAUCUCAUGUUUUAUAACUUUUCCUGUAGGUCUGAGAAUCACAAUGGUAUUGUGUUGUGUCAAAAUGUAAUCUUAAAUACGAUAAUUAUAACUUAAUUUUCCAAAUAAGACAAGAAUUAUACCGCUUUAGGCUUCUACGAUUCUAAGGGACAUGACACUUUUAUAAUAAGCAUUAGUACUUAACUUCUCACGUUAACAGAACUGGAAAUAUUUUACAAGAUGCCGUGUUUUGUAAUCACAAAAAACAUGAACAUUUUGUGGGAAAUGACCUUGGUUUUAUACAUUGUAGCUUAUUUUUUAAAAUACAGUAUUUACCAGACAGGAAGUGUUAGUAUUAUAAAGCAAUUCCUGCUCUCCAAACAAAGGGCUAUGCCUCUUUUAAGCAAGUGUUUUGAUGCAUAUCUUUUCAAUGAACCCUCUGCAGCAAGGGUAGAAAUGCAGAUCAGACGGAAAGAGUAUUAUAAGAGACUCAAGCUGGCAACAGCUACUCCUUUUAUCAUUGCCAGUGUGUUUGCAAAGUAUGACGGAAAAAGACACUUUAAGAAUCAUCCUACGUAUCUUAAAUCGGAAAAAAAAUGUUAGUAGAUAUGCUUGCAGGCAAUGGGAGAAAUAUUCUUGGAAAUUCUUUAGAGUAAAAUGAGAUUCUGUCACAAAGACAAACUUACCACAAACCUUCAUUUAACUAGCAAGUAUCAUCGGGUGGUAAUUUCGCAAACCAUGGUAUGUAAGCCCAAAGAUAGAAUUUUUAGGCGAUCAGUGGUGUUUAAAAUAAGUUUUUCCUCAGCACUAACUCAAUAAUCUUAAUUUCCUUAUCAAAGCAAGUGCUUGAUUUGUCACGAGAAGAACGAACAGACAUGCAGUUUGCGAUCAGAAAGUCACUGUGUUCCCAAGAGUCGGGAAACGAGGGAGGGAGCCAUGGAGAGUUUAUUAACUGCACAAAUAAUUUUGAGCUUUGCCAAAACCAUUUCAUAAUGCUGUACAGUUUUUUUCUAGCCCACUCACUGUUAAAAAAAAAAAAAGAAAGAAAGCAUCUUUUCUUUCUAAGAUUUCAGUAACUCAAAAGCUAGACUAAUUAGCAGUAUGCAGAUAACAUCAAAAGUAAAGCAGGGAUAGAAUGACCGUAUACCCAUUGGGCAACUCCUAUGAAGUGGUCAGAGGGUCACCCAGACCUUGCUUUCAAAUAGGCUUUAGAAUCUGCACACAUGAGGACUAGAAAUGCAUGGAGAUAGGGAAAACCACGUACAGCCUCGACUCCUGGUCUCUGAGAUGAGGCAGUCUGCAAAUCUCUAUCUUCAUUCCCUUGACUAUCUCCACUGUUAGCAUGAAAUCCCCAAGAAGUGCUUAUUGCUGUGUGGUUUUGAACCAAAUGAGUCUUGCUUCUUUUUGAAAUAGAAGCUUCCUAAUGGUUUAUAGCAGAAGCCUUAGAAAAGCCAGGCAGGAUCUGUAAAUGAACGAUUCAGGUCAGGCAAAACAGGGACACUACGGAAGAGUGGAGAGACUUGUGAACCAGAGAGCGCAUGCCCCCAUUGCCUGGGGCACCCAGCUCUAGACAAUCAGAACCAUGCAGAAAUCAGGCCCAGGGCUACUAGAUCUUCUGACUUGGAAGUAAGAUGUUACCUGACAUUUAAGUGUUGACAACUCAAAUUCUUGGCCAACACUGUGCAGACCAAAGAGAACCUAUAUAUGGGCAGAGGCAACCUCUGGCCACCAGUCUCACCUGUUGGGGAAAGCACAUCUCACAUCCAACGGCCACUGGGUCAGGUUCGUCCCUCAGCCCCACAAACUCACACGUUGGCACUAUCUGGGCCACUAAAAUCAAAGAAGGGAAAGAGGUCAGUUCUCCCCAGAAAUCAUUCUCAUGGAAGACUUGAAUAUUAAAAUAUAGUAUCCUUAAGUUAGCCUUGCCUCUGAUCAAAAUAUGCUAAAGUACUAUCCGGCUCACCUUCUGCCCCCUUCUGGCGGCCCAGGCCAUGCCCCAAAGCAUGGAAGAACUGUCAUCCCAACUUAAGUUCUCACCUACCGUGACCACUGUGAUGAGGGGCUGGCAAAGAGCAGGCUCGUGCCUUCAGAGAAGGCAGCCAGGAGCCUCUGGAGUCUGAAAUAGUCUGAGAGUCUGCUUCCUUGUGCCAAAGCCCUUCACCAGUCCCUCCACACUGCUUCCCACUCCAUCCUGCCUCGAGAGUUUUCAUUCCAGGGUAAAAUCUCCAUCUCCAAUAUAGCAACAGCCUUGUUUCAGAACUAGUAGGUAUGUUAGAGUGUCCACUAACCCCCAGAAUGGAGUUUUUCCACACAGAAAACCUUAGCACCUUUGUCUGCGGGCAAAGACAAAAUGGGAAUAAAUGUGUCAUGGAAAAAAUUAGAAGUUGCUUCUUUGGCUCGGAUGGACUAAGUUACUUCAGACUGUAUCUUACACCAGAGUCCUGAUGGUAUUGGGAUAAUCGCUAACCCUUUCACAUAUAUAAUAAAGUAGGUUUCUUUCAGAUACAUUAUUUCAUUUGACCUUCCUAGGGAUCCAGUGUAGAGUAGGAAUAUUUAGGAUCCCCUCCGAGGCCACACCACGAUAGUGUUAAGCCUGGGAGUCAGGCCUAUCACUGCCUGAAGGAAAGGGGGGAAGGGCUUGCAGACUGAAGUCUUCUAGACCCCAAAUCUAAAAAGACCCAGGGACCCACCCGGGUCUCAACCCACCCUCUCAGCCCAGGUCCUUCAGCAUAGAAACUAAGCACGUGUUCAUUCCCGUUGUCGCAUGCAAACUUAAUCAUGGCCAACAGCACCCCUUUAGGCUGCUGCCGUGCCCCUACUCCCUAAGGUCCAACCAUCUAAACGGUUACUUAUAGGAGUUUCUUAGCUAACGUGAUGUUCUGAGUAAAAGUUUUGACUCCUUGGGAAAAAAAUGAUUUUGCUGCUACCGUUCAACAUUUGUUCUCCAUGUAAACGGAAAUCGAUGCCAGAAAAUUGAAAAGCAGCUCAAAUUUACAAUUUUUAAUGAUCAAAUCCAAUGCAAAGUUGGAAACACCCAUGAGAUGCUGAAGUCAUGUUUAAAUACGAAUGCAAUUUAAAUGACAUUGUCAAUGCCUGAGAUCUCUGUCAGGGUGAGUGACUAAAAGGCUGUCCAAAAAAAAAAUAAAAGGUUGUCCAAUAAUGAACAGGUUUCACGAGGCUCUUCUCCCUUUACUUUACCAGGCUUCCCAUCGCGAGUUUAGGGUAAAGUCACUCCCAGGGAGGGUAGUCAUGGAACUAGAAGGGGCCUAAGCCAUUUUGGCCUGCAUGUACUUCAUUAACAGGCUUUUUUGACAAAUGAUGCGUUGUUAUCUGUGGAGAAUACAGUGCAGGCGUUGGACACAGCUGAGCUCUCCUCCUCUGCAGGUGAAGAAGCCUGUUUUGCAGGGGUGAGCACCAAGGCCCCCACAGUGGCGGGGCUUCGUGAAUAAGCAGGAAGCUGAGGUUCCUAAAGAAGAUGACCAUAGAUUCUGAGAGAAGGCGGAGAUUGUGAUUUCAAUGCUCAAACUGUCAUCCUUGUUUCUAAAAAAUGUUCUUUCAUAUUGGGCGCCAUCCAUGUCAUUAUAAAUGGCCAGCCUCCAAAGAAAAGGGCCCCUUUAUUUAUACUAUGAAAAUGUUAAAAAGCGAAUUCUUGAGCCUAAUUAACUGUUACAUUUACUCACGAGGGGCAAUUCCCUAAAUUUUUAAUUCAGAAGAUUCACCAGAGUAGAAAGUAGCAACUCCUGAAAAGGGCAAGAGAGCUGUCAUUAAAGAAGAAAAUUUUCUUUAAAAAAAAAUUGCUCAUCUGCUUCCUUCUGAAUUCUUUCUACAUCUCUGACUCAGGAGGAAAACCAGGACUCUGGAGAAGAAAUUGAGCUUAAAGAGAGAGAGAGAGAACAGUGCCAGUUCUGGUGAUUAGUCUUAACCAAACACUCCCCCGCCCCCCUCCCCGAGCGCCAUCUUGGCAACCACCUUGUGUUCACUUAUGUAAAUGUGGCCUUACUGAGGCCACACUGUUGUUAGUUAUGUUCCCUUCCCAAAAUUCCAAAUUAAACACUUUUGCUUCUGU